GCCGCAGGUUGCAGACCUCUGCCCUAAACCCUCUUUUGUUUUUGACCCAUUUAGCUCAGAAUAAUUGUCUCUUUAUCUAUCCAUAUUUACAGGUUAAUGUGUAUACUUAGAUCAGAAAGAACUUUAUGUUUCUCUUCACUGUGCAUUAUUUACCAUCAUUUUUCCUUUUCUGCCUCAGAGGAGGGAGUCACAAAACUGCAGGACUUCUGUUAAAGAAGUGGAGAUGAGGGCGGACCUUCACCUCUGAACCGUCUUCUAAGUGGUUCUUAUUUUCUUAGAUGAUUUAUGAAUUUUAGUAAAAACAUUUGAUUUGGCUUUGUUUAAAUCAACAAAUCAAAUACUCUAUGAAUACAUACAACUGACGUCCAACCAGAAGGGAUCAGAGCUCUCGCUGUUGACGGCGUUGCUGACCACACAGCGGUACCAGCCUGUGUGGUUCCUGUUGAUGUCUGUCAUUGUAGCGAUGCUCUUGUUCCCCUCUGAGAAGGUGAAGAAGCUUCCAUUGUGGGUUUGACGCUGCCACAUGUACUGGAUCGGUUCAGUCCCAUUUCUCACGCUGCAUCCCAACUGUAUUGUGGAUCCCUCGACUGGAGCGUCCCUCGUCGUGAGGAUGGGCUUACUGACGGACACUGAUUCAAGCAGAGGGGUGAUAAAUGCAAAGAGCACCUAAGUCAAGUCAAGAUUGUUUUCUCUAUCCUUUAUUCUGAUGUCAAUUCAUUAAAUGUUAUGUCUGAUUUUUGCUUCAGAUUUAGUUUUCUAAUGACAUCAAACACCAGUUUAACUUUUCUAAAAGUGAUGCAGAGUUUUAUCUGAAAUGUUUUUAAGCGUGGUGCUCAACUCCAGGUUGGGUCCAGAACAUUCACCUAUUUGUGUACAACACGUUUGCAGUUAGAUUAUGUUUUUCCUUUGACUGAAUGUUUUGUACUAAACCACCUUGAACUUCCACAGACUUUCAAGCAAACACAAAACUACAAAAAAAAAAGAAGAAAAAUAUUUGUUACCACUAGGUGGCAUUGCUGCAUCCCAGAUUUUUUUUGCAUCUGUUCAUGUACACAGUGCCUCUAUCUACACAGUGAUUCUACACUGCUCGGUUCUCUGACUUACACUGACCUAGAGUCACAAGGCAGGCUUUAUGCUGAGUCAGCAGUGGGUGCUGAGCAUAGCAGGUAUAGGGUCUCUCAUUCCUGGCUGAGCCAUAACUGAGAAUCAAGGUAUUGGAGCUCUCCUCUCCACCUUUGCUCUGUCCUCCAGGGCCCUCCCACCACAAUAAGGCCCUUGGAGUCCCUCCAUACCAGGAGCAGGACAGCAUCAGAUACCGUUGGUUGUUGGUCACAUAGGUGAAACACAACGGCUCUGUGGGAGGAAGAUCUAAAGGAGGAGGAAAAUAUAAAAUUAUUCUUUUUAUGUUUGACAUGUUUUUUCUCUUUUGCUGUGAUUCUUCCACUCACAUGUGCUUGUGCUGCAUCCUAUCUGCUGUUUCAGAGCGGGAUGGGAGCCCACACAGGUAAACAAGGUGUUGUUGGGAGUCAGGCCUCCAGAGGGCAGCAGGAUGGCAGAGCUGUUAAGUGGAUUUGUUGGCUGUUUUUUGUCAGACUGAUCUCCUGUGAUAUUUCCAGUCCAGCUGAGGGCAGGUGAGGGGAAUCCACCAGACCAAGUGCAGAUCAGUCUGAGGGAGGUGUGAUUCAAAGCCGGCUCCACAAAGCAAGAGGGAGAGUCAUCAGGAGGAUCUGCAGCCAGAACACAGAAAUGUUGUGUAUUCACAGAUGUACGUGGCUUCGUCAGAGAGGCGGAGCGAGGAGAAGAUGAUGGUCGUGUCUUCCAAAGAGGGGGUGCGCCUCCUCACAGCCGCGUUUCUGAACGUGACACGGUCUCGAUAGGGCGGCGCCACAGAGACGCCUAAGGAUGGAUUUGCGAUUGCCACGCUUUGCUUGGUGCCGUUCACCAGCUUCUGCCACGUUACCUUGAGGGACAAAACAUCCGUUACAUUGGGGAGAUGGGCUACAUUUUUGAUGGCUGUGGUGACUAAACCAACACAGAAAUAUUCUGAAAAGCAUGAAGGAACAGACAGUUUCUUUAUUCCCAACCAUGUAACGGUAAGCUUUUGAAUGCCCGUCCCACUGACUUCCUUGAAUCGACCGGGGUGCGUUGGUACUAUGAGGUCAUGCAGGGUGACGUC